rnacentral:rRNA from 1 species
CCUACGGGUGGCAGCAGUCGAGAAUCAUUCACAAUGGGGGAAACCCUGAUGGUGCGACGCCGCGUGGGGGAAUGAAGGUCUUCGGAUUGUAAACCCCUGUCAUGUGGGAGCAAAUUAAAAAGAUAGUACCACAAGAGGAAUAGACGGCUAACUCUGUGCCAGGAGCCGCGGUAAUACAGAGGUCUCAAGCGUUGUGCGGAAUCACUGGGCUUAAAGGGUUCGUAGGGUGUUUCGUAAGUCGUGUGUGAACAGCGCGGGCUCAAACGGCGGACGGCAGAUGAUACUGGGAGACUAGAGUAAUGGAGGGGGAACCGGAAUUCGCGGUGUAGCAGUGAAAUGCGGAGAUAUCGAGAGGAACACUCGUGGCGAAGGCGGGUUCCUGGACAUUAACUGACGCUGAGGCACGAAGGCCAGGGGAGCGAAAGGGAUUAGAUACCCUGGUAGUC